AUUGAACGCUGGCGGCAGGCCUAACACAUGCAAGUCGAGCGGAUGAAGGGAGCUUGCUCCUGGAUUCAGCGGCGGACGGGUGAGUAAUGCCUAGGAAUCUGCCUGGUAGUGGGGGAUAACGUCCGGAAACGGGCGCUAAUACCGCAUACGUCCUGAGGGAGAAAGUGGGGGAUCUUCGGACCUCACGCUCUCAGAUGAGCCUAGGUCGGAUUAGCUAGUUGGUGGGGUAAAGGCCUACCAAGGCGACGAUCCGUAACUGGUCUGAGAGGAUGAUCAGUCACACUGGAACUGAGACACGGUCCAGACUCCUACGGGAGGCAGCAGUGGGGAAUAUUGGACAAUGGGCGGAAGCCUGAUCCAGCCAUGCCGCGUGUGUGAAGAAGGUCUUCGGAUUGUAAAGCACUUUAAGUUGGGAGGAAGAGCAGUAAGUUAAUACCUUGCUGUUUUGACGUUACCAACAGAAUAAGCACCGGCUAACUUCGUG
rnacentral:rRNA from 1 species